rnacentral:lncRNA from 1 species
CUUCUACCCGGGGGCUCCAGUGCAUCUGGCUUUAUCUCUGGGGUGCUUCCAUACAAAGGGGACAGAAGAGAUGAUGGAAGGCCUCAGUACUGCAGGAGGGGAGACGGAUGUCAUCUACAAUCACACAAUACAUGGGAGGUCACAGAACGCCAGGGUGACGUAACAAUUCAAACCAUGAAGAGGUAACAGAGCCCUUCGCGCGUCUCAACACGUGGUGACGCAGCUAAUAACCUGUGAUGCAUACAUGGGAACAAAUGCAUAGAAAAACUUGUCAAUGACACGGCAAAGUAAAACCCAAAUGAAGCGAGGUGAAAGAAUGGGCUGCAGCGCAGGCAAAACUGCACCACGUUACAGACUGCUCGCCUGGGAUGGAACGGUGGGGAGGUGCGCAGACGGAUGGACAAGCGCCUGGCAAAAUGGAUUUCUUUUCCUAGACUGCUAAUGCUACUAACAGUUCCCUCCUCACAGGGUCGCUAUAACGAGGUAACAUACAGCACUU